CGAGGAAGGCGACGCAUUUAUCUGCAGGGCGGCCGGGCGUCCGCCGGGGAGCAGGAGCGCCGCGCGCUGUGCGCCGAGAGCGCCCGCGCCAGGCUGGCUCCGCGCGCGCCCGCUACCAGAGCACUGCAGUCUUUGGAAUCCCACGUCACCUCUGCACAGCGUGUUCAUGGGAGGAUCGCCUGUCACCGCAGCACCUCUGGGAAGAAAGACAGCAGCCAACUGGCUCAUGGCACAGCAGUAGCAAGAGAAGAAAUUUCUGGCCAACAAGUCUGUAGCAAAUAUAGUCUGCUGUUAAUCAUGCUCAGUAGGAAGGUUUUUGCAGUUCUUUCUUUCUUCUGUAGCUCUCCUCAGUAGGCUAGCCACCAGCCCAUCGUGAUGGAGCAUGCC
rnacentral:lncRNA from 1 species